GAUGAACGCUGGCGGCGUGCCUAAUACAUGCAAGUCGAGCGAACGGACGAGAAGCUUGCUUCUCUGAUGUUAGCGGCGGACGGGUGAGUAACACGUGGAUAACCUACCUAUAAGACUGGGAUAACUUCGGGAAACCGGAGCUAAUACCGGAUGAUAUUUUGAACCGCAUGGUUCAAAAGUGAAAGACGGUCUUGCUGUCACUUAUAGAUGGAUCCGCGCUGCAUUAGCUAGUUGGUAGGGUAACGGCUUACCAAGGCAACGAUGCAUAGCCGACCUGAGAGGGUGAUCGGCCACACUGGAACUGAGACACGGUCCAGACUCCUACGGGAGGCAGCAGUAGGGAAUCUUCCGCAAAGGGCGAAAGCCUGACGGAGCAACGCCGCGUGAGUGAUGAAGGUCUUCGGAUCGUAAAACUCUGUUAUUAGGGAAGAACAUAUGUGUAAGUAACUGUGCACAUCUUGACGGUACCUAAUCAGAAAGCCACGGCUAACUACGUG
rnacentral:rRNA from 1 species